rnacentral:ncRNA from 1 species
CAUACAGGGGAGCUCGUUUGGCGGGCUGAGAGGAAGUUUACAGCUUCGACCCUUUGACCUGAUUUGGGUAAUGCCAACGUAGGAAUUCACAUA